GUACACUCCUACGGGAGGCAGCAGUGGGGAAUAUUGGACAAUGGGCGCAAGCCUGAUCCAGCCAUGCCGCGUGAGUGAUGAAGGCCCUAGGGUUGUAAAGCUCUUUCACCGGUGAAGAUAAUGACGGUAACCGGAGAAGAAGCCCCGGCUAACUUCGUGCCAGCAGCCGCGGUAAUACGAAGGGGGCUAGCGUUGUUCGGAUUUACUGGGCGUAAAGCGCACGUAGGCGGACUAUUAAGUCAGGGGUGAAAUCCCGGGGCUCAACCCCGGAACUGCCUUUGAUACUGGUAGUCUUGAGUUCGAGAGAGGUGAGUGGAAUUCCGAGUGUAGAGGUGAAAUUCGUAGAUAUUCGGAGGAACACCAGUGGCGAAGGCGGCUCACUGGCUCGAUACUGACGCUGAGGUGCGAAAGCGUGGGGAGCAAACAGGAUUAGAAACCCUAGUAGUCCCA
rnacentral:rRNA from 1 species